UUCCUGGUGUCUUAGAUGGUAAAGAAUCUGCCUGCAGUGCAGGAGACCUGGGUUCAAUCCCUGGGUUGGGAA
rnacentral:tRNA from 1 species